CAUAAGAAUUUAUAAUAGAAUUUUAUUUUUUAGUCAAAAAGCUAAAAUAUAAUUAAAAGACGAGAAGACCCUAUAAAUCUUUAUACAUAAAUUAUUAGAAUUUUGUAGAUUUUUUUUAUUAUAAUAAUUAAUUGUAUUUUAUUGGGGUGAUAUUAAAAUUUAAUAAACUUUUAAUUUUAAAAAUCAUUAAUUUAUGAAUAAUUGAUCCGUUAUUAACGAUUAAAAAAAUAAGUUACCUUAGGAAUAACAG
rnacentral:rRNA from 1 species